rnacentral:rRNA from 1 species
GACGAACGCUGGCGGCGUGCCUAAUACAUGCAAGUUGAGCGCUGAAGGUUGGUACUUGUACCAACUGGAUGAGCAGCGAACGGGUGAGUAACGCGUGGGGAAUCUGCCUUUGAGCGGGGGACAACAUUUGGAAACGAAUGCUAAUACCGCAUAAAAACUUUAAACACAAGUUUUAAGUUUGAAAGAUGCAAUUGCAUCACUCAAAGAUGAUCCCGCGUUGUAUUAGCUAGUUGGUGAGGUAAAGGCUCACCAAGGCGAUGAUACAUAGCCGACCUGAGAGGGGUAUCGGCCACAUUGGGACUGACACCCGGCCCAACCCCCCACGGGAGGCCGCAGUAGGGAAUUUUGGGCAAUGGACGAAAUUCUAACCGGGCAACGCCGGGGGGGGAAAAAAGUUUUUCGGAUCUUAAAACUCUUUUGGUAGAAAAAAACGUUGGGGAGGGUGGAAAGCCCAUCAAGGGCCGGUAACUCCCCAGAAAGGGCCGGCUAACUACC